rnacentral:rRNA from 1 species
GACGAACGCUGGCGGCGUGCCUAAUACAUGCAAGUAGAACGCACAGUUUAUACCGUAGCUUGCUACACCAUAAACUGUGAGUUGCGAACGGGUGAGUAACGCGUAGGUAACCUGCCUGGUAGCGGGGGAUAACUAUUGGAAACGAUAGCUAAUACCGCAUAAUAUUGAUUAUUGCAUGAUAAUUGAUUGAAAGAUGCUAUUGCAUCACUACCAGAUGGACCUGCGUUGUAUUAGCUAGUAGGUGAGGUAACGGCUCACCUAGGCGACGAUACAUAGCCGAACUGAGAGGGUGAUCGGCCACACUGGGACUGAGACACGGCCCAGACUCCUACGGGAGGCAGCAGUAGGGAAUCUUCGGCAAUGGACGAAAGUCUGACCGAGCAACGCCGCGUGAGUGAAGAAGGUUUUCGGAUCGUAAAGCUCUGUUGUAAGAGAAGAACGGGUGUGAGAGUGGAAAGUUCACACUGUGACGGUAUCUUACCAGAAAGGGACGGCUAACUACGUG